ACUCUAAGCGGUGGAUCACUCGGCUCAUGGGUCGAUGAAGAACGCAGCAAACUGUGCGUCAUCGUGUGAACUGCAGGACACAUGAACAUCGACAUUUUGAACGCAUAUCGCAGUCCAUGCUGUUAUGUACUUUAAUUAAUUUUAUAGUGCUGCUUGGACUACAUAUGGUUGAGGGUUGUAAGACUAUGCUAAUUAAGUUGCUUAUACAAAUUUUAUAAUGAAAUUUUAUAAGCAUAUGGUAUAUUAUUGGAUAAUAAUAAUUUAAUUAUUUUAUUCAUAAUAUUAAAAAAUAUAUGAAAAACAUUAUCUCACAUUAGUAAAUAAUUUGAAUGUGAAAAACGAAGAGAAAUAUUUUCUUUUUCAAUCAAAUGAUACUGAGAAAUGUCUAGCAUAAAAAUUUAUCUAGAAUUGUCUCUUAUUAAUGAUUAGAAAAUAGAAAACCGUUGACAAUAUUAUUGUUCUUCGUUGAUUCGUUAAAUCAAACAAAUGCCAUUUAUAUACAGAUAUUAUUAAUAUAACGAAUUUAAUAAAAUGUUUUAUCAUUAUAUAUAAAGAAUUAAUUGCAUAUAAAAGUUAUACACAACCUCAACUCAUAUGGGACUACCCCCUGAAUUUAAGCAUAUUAAUUAGGGGAGGAAAAGAAACUAACAAGGAUUUUCUUAGUAGCGGCGAGCGAAAAGAAAUCAGUUCAGCACUAAGUCACUUUGUCUAUAUGGCAAAUGUGAGAUGCAGUGUAUGGAGCGUCAAUAUUCUAGUAUGAGAAAUUAACGAUUUAAGUCCUUCUUAAAUGAGGCCAUUUACCCAUAGAGGGUGCCAGGCCCGUAUAACGUUAAUGAUUACUAGAUGAUGUUUCCAAAGAGUCGUGUUGCUUGAUAGUGCAGCACUAAGUGGGUGGUAAACUCCAUCUAAAACUAAAUAUAACCAUGAGACCGAUAGUAAACAAGUACCGUGAGGGAAAGUUGAAAAGAACUCUGAAUAGAGAGUUAAACAGUACGUGAAACUGCUUAGAGGUUAAGCCCGAUGAACCUGAAUAUCCGUUAUGGAAAAUUCAUCAUUAGAAUUGUAAUAUUUAAACAAUAUUAUGAUAAUAGUGUGCAUUUUUUCCAUAUAAGGACAUUGUAAUCUAUUAGCAUACCAAAUUUAUCAUAAAAUAUAACUUAUAGUUUAUUCAAAUUAAUUUGCUUGCAUUUUAACACAGAAUAAAUGUUAUUAAUUUGAUAAAGUGCUGAUAGAUUUAUAUGAAUACAGUGCGUUAAUUUUUCGGAAUUAUAUAAUGGCAUAAUUAUCAUUGAUUUUUGUGUUUAUUAUAUGCACUUGUAGGAUUAACAAUGCGAAAGAUUCAGGAUACCUUCGGGACCCGUCUUGAAACACGGACCAAGGAGUCUAACAUAUGUGCAAGUUAUUGGGAUAUAAACCUAAUAGCGUAAUUAACUUGACUAAUAAUGGGAUUAGUUUUUUAACUAUUUAUAGCUAAUUAACACAAUCCCGGGGCGUUCUAUAUAGUUAUGUAUAAUGAUAUUUAUAUUAUUUAUGCCUCUAACUGGAACGUACCUUGAGCAUAUAUGCUGUGACCCGAAAGAUGGUGAACUAUACUUGAUCAGGUUGAAGUCAGGGGAAACCCUGAUGGAAGACCGAAACAGUUCUGACGUGCAAAUCGAUUGUCAGAAUUGAGUAUAGGGGCGAAAGACCAAUCGAACCAUCUAGUAGCUGGUUCCUUCCGAAGUUUCCCUCAGGAUAGCUGGUGCAUUUUAAUAUUAUAUAAAAUAAUCUUAUCUGGUAAAGCGAAUGAUUAGAGGCCUUAGGGUCGAAACGAUCUUAACCUAUUCUCAAACUUUAAAUGGGUAAGAACCUUAACUUUCUUGAUAUGAAGUUCAAGGUUAUGAUAUAAUGUGCCCAGUGGGCCACUUUUGGUAAGCAGAACUGGCGCUGUGGGAUGAACCAAACGUAAUGUUACGGUGCCCAAAUUAACAACUCAUGCAGAUACCAUGAAAGGCGUUGGUUGCUUAAAACAGCAGGACGGUGAUCAUGGAAGUCGAAAUCCGCUAAGGAGUGUGUAACAACUCACCUGCCGAAGCAACUAGCCCUUAAAAUGGAUGGCGCUUAAGUUGUAUACCUAUACAUUACCGCUAAAGUAGAUGAUUUAUAUUACUUGUAAUAUAAAUUUUGAAACUUUAGUGAGUAGGAAGGUACAAUGGUAUGCGUAGAAGUGUUUGGCGUAAGCCUGCAUGGAGCUGCCAUUGGUACAGAUCUUGGUGGUAGUAGCAAAUAAUCGAAUGAGACCUUGGAGGACUGAAGUGGAGAAGGGUUUCGUGUGAACAGUGGUUGAUCACGAGUUAGUCGGUCCUAAGUUCAAGGCGAAAGCCGAAAAUUUUCAAGUAAAAUACAAAUGCCAAACAAAUAUAUAUAUUAUAUAAAAUCUAGCUAAAUUAAUAUACUUGAAUAAUUUUGAACGAAAGGGAAUACGGUUCCAAUUCCGUAACCUGUUGAGUAUCCGUUUGUUAUUAAAUAUGGGCCUCGUGCUCAUCCUGGCAACAGGAACGACCAUAAAGAAGCCGUCGAGAGAUAUCGGAAGAGUUUUCUUUUCUGUUUUAUAGCCGUACUACCAUGGAAGUCUUUCGCAGAGAGAUAUGGUAGAUGGGCUAGAAGAGCAUGACAUAUACUGUUGUGUCGAUAUUUUCUCCUCGGACCUUGAAAAUUUAUGGUGGGGACACGCAAACUUCUCAACAGGCCGUACCAAUAUCCGCAGCUGGUCUCCAAGGUGAAGAGUCUCUAGUCGAUAGAAUAAUGUAGGUAAGGGAAGUCGGCAAAUUAGAUCCGUAACUUCGGGAUAAGGAUUGGCUCUGAAGAUUGAGAUAGUCGGGCUUGAUUGGGAAACAAUAACAUGGUUUAUGUGCUCGUUCUGGGUAAAUAGAGUUUCUAGCAUUUAUGUUAGUUACUUGUUCCCCGGAUAGUUUAGUUACGUAGCCAAUUGUGGAACUUUCUUGCUAAAAUUUUUAAGAAUACUAAUUGGGUUAAACCAAUUAGUUCUUAUUAAUUAUAACGAUUAUCAAUUAACAAUCAAUUCAGAACUGGCACGGACUUGGGGAAUCCGACUGUCUAAUUAAAACAAAGCAUUGUGAUGGCCCUAGCGGGUGUUGACACAAUGUGAUUUCUGCCCAGUGCUCUGAAUGUCAAAGUGAAGAAAUUCAAGUAAGCGCGGGUCAACGGCGGGAGUAACUAUGACUCUCUUAAGGUAGCCAAAUGCCUCGUCAUCUAAUUAGUGACGCGCAUGAAUGGAUUAACGAGAUUCCUACUGUCCCUAUCUACUAUCUAGCG
rnacentral:rRNA from 1 species